rnacentral:lncRNA from 1 species
CUCUUGUGUUUACUGUUUCAGUCUGCCAAAGGAGAGAAAGGGAUGAACCCCAAUGCUAUAAUGGGAGAAAAUGCAGUGGAGGAACUUGACGAAGCAUAUACCACAUUAGCAAAUAACAUCUUGUCAACAGAGCAGUCUGGCCAACAGAAUGUCCUUUACGCGUAUUCAGGCCAGAUGUCGCAACAAAUAUUCUAAAGAAAUCUGGACAUUUUCU